GUCUGUAUGGCUCAGUGGUCAGAGCAUCUGCCUAGUAAGCAGGAGGCCUGGGUUCGAAUCCCAGUCCAAUACAAAUU